GAUGAACGCUGGCGGCGUGCCUAAUACAUGCAAGUCGAGCGAACAGACGAGGAGCUUGCUCCUCUGACGUUAGCGGCGGACGGGUGAGUAACACGUGGAUAACCUACCUAUAAGACUGGGAUAACUUCGGGAAACCGGAUCUAAUACCGGAUAAUAUAUUGAACCGCAUGGUUCAAUAGUGAAAGACGGUUUUGCUGUCACUUAUAGAUGGUUCCGCGCCGCAUUAGCUAGUUGGUAAGGUAACGGCUUACCAAGGCAACGAUGCGUAGCCGACCUGAGAGGGUGAUCGGCCACACUGGAACUGAGACACGGUCCAGACUCCUACGGGAGGCAGCAGUAGGGAAUCUUCCGCAAUGGGCGAAAGCCUGACGGAGCAACGCCGCGUGAGUGAUGAAGGUCUUCGGAUCGUAAAACUCUGUUAUUAGGGAAGAACAAAUGUGUAAGUAACUAUGCACGUCUUGACGGUACCUAAUGAGAAAGCCACGGCUAACUACGUG
rnacentral:rRNA from 1 species